ANUCUUAACACACAUAUACUAAUAUUAUUUAUCGGGAACGUUUUGUGUACCCACCCAAACGUAUACUGUGGAUACGCGAUAACUGGCUCCCCGAAGAAGAAUCUCAACCGGACGAGGAAAGUUAAGGUUGAGAAUUCCAGAAAGCCGUAGAGGUGCAGAGAUAGAAUGGCAAGGCGUCCCAGUGUCCGCUAGAGGGAUGUUCAGAAACCGUGAAUGGCUGACGCAGUAAAAGAACCACUGUAAUGGAAGUGAAGCAGCCAAGAAACCACACGAAUUUGGGGGGAAAUGGCCUUUUUAUAGCCCGCAAAACUGGUUUAGCGAUCUCUGCUGAUUUUUCAACAUGAACACGAAAUUCUUAUCUAACGACAACAAGCAUUAAACUAACAGAAAACAUCUCAAGUAUUCAGAAUGUAUUAUUACUAUUAUUGUUCAAUUAUAAUUCAGCCAAUUUUUCUAAUUAUUCACAUUAUAUCGACAAACACAAAUUCCCACAUUCCCCAAUUUUCAAUAUUUUACCGUAAUAAACUUAU